rfam:Schistosoma curassoni strain Dakar, Senegal genome assembly, scaffold: SCTD_scaffold0009646
GCACUGCUGAGGAGUCCCACACUUGGACGAAACGACCGUCCAGUGC